rnacentral:lncRNA from 1 species
UAGAUUCCAGAGAAUCUAUCUUAUCAUAAAUAACUUCUUGCCACAAAUCUGCAUCCAGAGAAGACAAGACUUCUUGAAUAUUUAUAGGAUUUCCUUCUACAUUAUAAUUCGCAUAAUCAGGCCCAUGGUCUUUAGCAACUCUUACUAUUUUUCUUCGUCGAAGUUCUAUUUCUACUUCGUUGUUGCUUUCAGUGUUUCUUAUUACAAGAGUGUGAUUCGAU